rnacentral:rRNA from 1 species
GACGAACGCUGGCGGCGUGCUUAACACAUGCAAGUCGAACGGAAAGGCCCUGCUUUUGUGGGGUGCGCGAGUGGCGAACGGGUGAGUAACACGUGAGUAACCUGCCCUUGACUGUGGGAUAACUUCAGGAAACUGGGGCUAAUACCGGAUAGGAGCUCCUGCUGCAGGGUGGGGGUUGGAAAGUUUCGGCGGUUGGGGAUGGACUCGCGGCUUAUCAGCUUGUUGGUGGGGGAGUGGCUUACCAAGGCUUUGGCGGGUAUCGGGCCUGAGAGGGUGACCGGCCACAUUGGGACUGAGAUACGCCCCAGACUCCUACGGGAGGGAGCGGUGGGGAAUAUUGCACAAUGGGCGGAAGCGUGAUGCAGCAACGCCGCGCGCGGGAGGACGGCCUUCGGGUGGUAAGCCGCUUUCGCCUGUGACGAAGCGUGAGUGACGGUAAUGGGUAAAGAAGCACCGGCUAACUACGU